GUGCGUGCAUGCGGGAGCACCUCAACUGCGCCCCCUAGAGGAUGGUGCCACAGGCAACUGCCUGAUUUGCCUCGCUGUUGAACCGCCCCUGCCAAAAGCACUUUAGAGGCCCUGGCAUCAAGAAAAAACUGAGGAAAAGUCAGACUGUCAAAUAUGGAUGGUUGACUGCCAAAAGGAAAACAUCAGCUUAAAUAUCGCACAUAGUGGAAAUAAAAUGUAUCUGCUUC